GGGUCAGUAGGUUGGUCGUGCCACCGGUACGUACUGGUCUCACUGAUUCCUCCUUCCUGAAGAACCGUAAUGCCAUUAAUUUGGUGUUGCGGGGAAACAGGACUGUUACUUUGAAAAAAUUAUAGUGUUUAAAGCAAGCUAACGCUUGAAUACAUUAGCAUGGAACAAUGAAAUAGGACGAUCGAUCCUAUUUUGUUGGUUUCUAGGAUUGACGUA
rnacentral:rRNA from 1 species